AUUUUGCAUGAUAAAAAGUAGCCCAUGUCACUCUCCAGGUCUUUAACUAUGUAUAUUCAUGCAAAAAAUCAAGUUGAUCUGUUGCUCUGUUGUGGCGAGAUUAAAUAGCAAACCAACAAACCAUUAAACAUACACACUUUCGCAUUUAUAAUAUAGUUGGGAUUGGGAUGUAA